CCCAAUACUUUUGGAGCUAGAGAUGUUCCAAAUACUUUCAAAACCAGACUGUGUCCCGAUACUUUUGGAGCUACACUGAUUUCCAAUACUUCCGAGCUACUUUAGAGCUAGAUGGUGUACCAAUACUUCUGUAGCUAGAAUGUCCCAACACGUUUGAACCUAGACUGUAUCCCAUACUUUUGAAACAGGACUGUGUUCCAAUACUUUUAGAUCUAGAGAGUGUCCCAAUACAUUUUGGAGCCAGACAGUGUUCCAAUACUUUUGAAGCUUAAGUGUGUCCCAAAACGUUUGAAACUAGACUGCAUCCCGUACUUUUGAAAGCACACUGUGUCCCAAUACUUUGCUUUUGGAACUAGAGAGUGCCCCAAUACUUUUGAAACUCGACAGAGUUCCAAUGCUUUUGGAGCUAGAGUGUGUCCCAAUACUUUUGAAACUCAACUGAGUUCCAAUGCUUUUGGAGCUAGAGCAUCCCAAUACAUUUGAAAGUAGCAGUCUGCUUUCAAAAGUAUUGGAACACCGUCUAGCUCCAAAGUACUGAAACACAGUCUAGUUUCUAGUGUCUAGUCUAGUGUCCCAAUACUUUUUAGAGCUAGACAGAUUUCCAAUACUUUUGAAGCUAGAGAGUGUCCCAAAUACUUUUUAAACUAGAUGGUGUUCCAAUACUUUUGGCACUAGACAGUGCCCCAAUAUGACAUUUUUCAAAUAUUUAUGACAUAUGAUGCUAAUCCCAUUUUUAUGACAUCAAAUGACAUCAUACAAGACAGAAUGACAUUUUAAACAUAUUUAUGACGUCAUAUGAUACUAUGACAUUUUUCAGAUAUUGAAACUAGACUGCACCCCAAUACUUUUUGGAGCUAAACAGCAUUCCAAUACUUUUGAAACUAGACUUUGCCCCAAUACUUUUUUGAGAGAGACAGUGUUUCAAUACUUUUGAAGCCAGAGAGUGUCCCAACAUGUUUGAAACUAUGCUGCAUAUUAUAACAUAUUUAUGACAUCAUAUGAUAGUAUGAGUCAUAUGAGUUCAAAUAUUUUGAACACGUUUGAACCUAGACUGUGUUCCAAUACUUUUGGAGCGAGAGAGAGUCCCAAUGCUUUUGAAGCUAGACCGCUUCCAAUACUUUGCGGCUAGACGGUGUUCCAAUACUUUUGGAGCCAGAGAGUAUCCCAAUACUUUUGGAGCUAGACAGUGCUCCAAUACUUUUGAAUGUAGCCGUCUACUUUCAAAAGUAUUGGAACACUGUCUAGCUCCAAAGUACUGGGACACUUUGUAGUGUCUAGUCUAGUGUCCCAAUACUUUUGGAGCUUGACGAGUCCCAAUACUUUUGAAAAUAGACUGUGUUCCAGUACUUUUGGAGUUAGACAGCGUCCCAACAAUUUUAGAGCAAGAUAGCAUCCCAAUACUUUUGGAGUGAGACAGCGUACAAUCAAUUGAGUGACGUGAUGACGUAUAACAAUAUGAAGUAUAACAUAUUUGUGGCAUAAUAUGAUACUAUGCAUGUUCCUGACAUAAAAUGAUACGAAAUAUGAUUGUUUACAUUAAAAUCUAUAACAUGAUAAUAAAGUAUGAAAAGGUGAAAAAAGUGAGAAUUGAAGUGAAGAAAGUCAGUUUUCAUCAAAUGUGCUCUGACAAUCGAUUGUGUGACGUGAUUCAGUAUGAUAUUUUUAUUCUUUUUGCCUCUGGUUACUACCUGCUGGGCUGAGUUCUGCUUUGAAGCGGUUUUCCAAAUCGGUCGCGGUCAACAACUUCUCAGUGUGGUGGAAGAAACACACCUAAGGUACACAGGUAUAAGGUACAAAGUACACACUUUAAUCACACCAUUAACAUUGUGUGUGAAUUUUCACCGCAUUGUGCAACAGGACACGUACACACACGUACUCAACUGUCUGACGGUAAACAAGAGAGCGUGGCUGCGUCCCAAACCACGUACUUACGUACUAUAUAGUAAGUGAAAUACACGCAAGUACGCGGUUUGGGACACAGCCCAUGGCUUCAAGCAGUUGUCUAUUUGCAUGUACAGCAUGACAUAAUUAACUGCACUUGAAGCUUUCGUAAAAUUAAAAAUUAAAAACAUCCAAAACUGUAUAUGGUCCCAUAACGAAGACCAACUGUAUGUUGAUACGUGAAAUUCUGGAGGGACGUCAGACGGGGUGGUGUGGGGAUGCAAUGAUGUGUGCCCUUAAUCGAUCUCUGUUCUAUAACACGUAAAACAGGAACAUGAAAGGAGUAUUCUAAAAGCGACUCAUGUAAACACCUUAAUCACAGUAUUGUAUUAAUCAGAAUAAUGUCAAAAAUUAGAUCACUGCUGUACACGUAAAUGUAGUCAAUAAUGCACGUCGAUAAUGCGACUAAAACAGGAAUACUCCACAUGUAUCAAUUCGAUAUUUGUUUACUCCGAGUAUGACCUUAGUCAGAUAAAGGUCAUCAAUAAUCACUGUUUACAUGCUGGUUUCUUAAUCAGAGUAUCGUCUUUAUCGGGUUAAUAUCUGAAUACUGUUGUCCAUGUAAACGUACUGAAUGUCAAACAUUGUGAAGACUGAUGCAAUUAUAGCUAUAUAUUUGUAAAUAUUAAAAUAAACAUUUGCCUAGGAUGUAAUGUCUGAUUUAAAAAAAAAAAGAAAAGAAAGAUUUUACCCUAGUGACCGAAAGAAUUAGAUCGCGGGUACAAGCAGCCGAAAUGGGUUUUCUCAGGUGGGUGGCCUCUCCCUUAGAGAUAGGGUGAGAAGCUCGGUUAUCCGAGAGGAACUCAGACUAGAGCCGUUGCUCCUUUGCGUUGAAAGGAGCCAGUUGAGGUGGUUCACAAAAGUGAGUACACCCCUAAGUGAAAAUGUGUGAAUGGGGAGCAGGUGUGUUAAAUUUGGUGCCAUUGCUCUCACACUCCCUCAUACUGGUCACUGGAAGUUUGAACAUUUUCACUUAGGGGUGUACUCACUUUUGUUGCCAGCGGUUUAGACAUUAAUGUCUGUGUGUUGAGUUAUUUUGAGGGGACGGUAAAUUUACACUGUUACACAAGCUGUACACUCACUACUUUACAUUGUAGCAAAGUGUCAUUUCUUCAGUGUUGU
ensembl:lncRNA